rnacentral:lncRNA from 1 species
UGUCCCCAACAGGUUGGCUGUAGAAUAGUGUGAGGCCGUUGUUCUCUGAUCAAAAGGAUAAACACCUGCCUGACUUUCCAUCUCUUGAAGAGCAGUUGGUGUACGAAUGCAUGACAGGAUCACUCUCAAGCUCUCUGUACAGCAGCUGUAUAAAUACUGCUCAGGCAGACUUCUUGGCAAAUACAGCAAGGUUGCUACAAACACAGCCAAAAACAAAGCGGAAUUGUUCUAGGAAAUAAAUUACUUGAACAGCGGAGGAGACUUUGCCCUAUUUGAUAUGGAAAGCACAGCCAAGGGUGUGGAUAUCAGAGCCUCAGAGUUAGGAGCUGCUCCAAGCCUUCUUCCCUAGAUGCCUCGUGCCCAUCCUGGACAACUUCCAAGUAUCACAGCUCUGGAUGGCCACUCAUCUUCUGUGUACAGACUCCAACCCAGCUGAAACCCAUUUCAUGAAAUGUACUUUAUAUAAACCUAAUUUAUUAAAG